CGACGUCGUAGGCUGUGCAUGCACCAUUUCUCCAACUAUAAAUAGCAGCUCUUCCGCAGCUUCAAAAAAUAUAGCAGCAACAAAUUAUAUAAUUCUUCCAAAAAUAUUUAAUCAGUUUGCAAAUUUCUUUCAGUUUUAAUAUCUGAAGAUGUCGUCGGACAAGUGCGGUAGCUGCGACUGCUCCGACAAGAGCCAGUGCGGGUAAGUUUUUUUUUUUUUUUUUUUUUUCAAUUUUUUUUUCAUGCAUGCUUUUGUGGCACAAAAAUAUUGGUGUUAUUUUUGGAGAAUAUAUAGAGAUUUAACAUUUUUUUUCUAAAUUUAUUGCUUCGUCGUUUUUUUUUUAAAUUUAGUAUCGUUUAAGGUUCGGGCUAAACGUAUUGAGAAACCUAUACACAUAAAAUACAACUAAAAUAUUGUUCCAGUGUGUGAGAUGUUACAUCUGGUGUAUUUCACCUGGUGGUUUUGAACCAUAUAAUAUUUAUAUAAAUAAUUACCCACUGAACGAAUAAAUUGCAGGAAGAAGGGUUACACUGCUGACAUCAUUGAGACUCAGAAGAGGUAUUUUUCAUCUUCUAAUCUCAUUUAUUUAUUUAUUAUUUUUUAAUUAACACGGAAAAAAAAACCCACCGGGACUUAAUUUGGUUUCGCAGCUACAACGAGACCACCAUAGUGAUGGAUGCACCUGCAGCAGAGCACGAUGGGUGCAAGUGCGGCUCCAGCUGCUCGUGCACCACCUGCACCUGCGGCCACUGAAGCCUCACCGUACUAAUACUAUGGACGCACCCGUAUGAUUAUAAUAGUUGUGUCGAAUAAGUUUGUAAUGUUUCUCGUUUGGGUCGAAAACGUGUGAUGAGUGUUGUGCCAAAAUUUGUGAUCCCUCUUAGGUUCACAACUAUGUAAUAGUUUGCAUCUCACCACGUUUAAUUAAUCUUAUGUUAUAAUUAAUCGGUUUGAUUUUAUAGUGUCUUAUUAUAUCUCGUUUCUUGUUAAUUACCUUAUUAGUUUCUGCUUAUACAAUAUCAAUCUAUCUUCCACUGAAUUAGGGGGUCUUUUUU
rnacentral:lncRNA from 1 species